CACACAACAUAAUCUUGGUCUCAGGUACCUAUGAUCCUCUCAAUCUACGAUAUGAUGUAAAAGCCAUGAUGCUUCGCUGAGGAGAAAUUCUUCUGUUUCCGAGCGAGGAGUGGUGUUGUCUUCCUUGGUUCCCCUCUUUGGACACAGCUUCACUCGGGAUGCGUGAAUCCAGAUGUCAUGGGAAUCUGUGAGGACAGCGGUUAUGGGUACAGUAAUCACAGUAGCAGGUGGUCCAAAAGGGUAUCCUCCUUUCUUGGUCCUGUUCAACUGACGGAU